GAUGAACGCUGGCGGCGUGCUUAACACAUGCAAGUCGAACGGAAAGGCCCAAGCUUGCUUGGGUGCUCGAGUGGCGAACGGGUGAGUAACACGUGGGUGAUCUGCCCUGCACUUUGGGAUAAGCCUGGGAAACUGGGUCUAAUACCGGAUAGGACCAUCGUUUAGUGUCGGUGGUGGAAAGUUUUUCGGUGUGGGAUGAGCUCGCGGCCUAUCAGCUUGUUGGUGGGGUAAUGGCCUACCAAGGCGUCGACGGGUAGCCGGCCUGAGAGGGUGUACGGCCACAUUGGGACUGAGAUACGGCCCAGACUCCUACGGGAGGCAGCAGUGGGGAAUAUUGCACAAUGGGCGCAAGCCUGAUGCAGCGACACCGCGUGGGGGAUGACGGCCCUCGGGUUGUAAACUCCUUUCGCCAAGGACGAAGCGUUUUGUGACGGUACUUGGAGAAGAAGCACCGGCUAACUACGUG
rnacentral:rRNA from 1 species